CUUCCGGUUCCGGGAAUGGGGUACAAAGCUUUGCGCCGGGGAGGUGGUCUCCCUUUCCCGAGAGCUGGCUCCGCUGCCUUGCCCCACUCGUGAAGUGGGGGAUGCUCAGGAGCCUGAGUAAUCCUUUUCCAUAGUUCCAGAAUGGAGACUGAAGGAGACCCAGAGACACAAAGAGAUAGAGAAGUCCAGAAUGAUCAAGUAAUGUCACCACCAAAAGAGAUGAUGGCUAAGGAGCCAGCAAACGUCCUAAUAGUGGUUCCCCAGGCCCAGGUUCCACAAGAGCCUUCUGUGCAUUCACCGAAGAGCCUUGAAGAUGUUGAGACUGGGCCAGGAAGGAAUCCUCUCAACCCUGUAGUCUGCAGGCAGAUGUUCAGAAAUUUCCACUUUAAGGAUGCAUCUGGGCCCAGGGAUGUCUUCAGGAACCUUUUGGAGCUUCUUAGGCAGUGGCUGAGACCUGAUAUUCACACAAAGGAGCAGAUGAUAGAAAUGCUGGUGCACGAGCAAUUCCAGGUCGUCAUGCAUGAGAUGCUCAGAGCUCAGGAGCAGAAAUGUCCGUCCGUGGUCAGAUUCACUGGCUAAGUCUCACUGCUCAUUUCUUGCUCAACCUACAUGAGACAUUUAGUUAAAGGUUCUCUUUGUUGCAGGUUCCUUUGUUGCAAGUUCCAUGGGAAAUCUGAACCUCGAUUAUCUUUGUUUGCCUUUGACUAGUUGUAAUAAGAAUUGAUCAGAACCCGUGUUUGGGCCUGUUUUUGCCUGAGGCAGCUCUAUUUUCCUGGGACUGUGAACUCCACAAGGAGUUUCUCUGCCCUCUUGUUAGGACAAUCAGCCUGCUGUUUAUUUUUGCUCUGCUGAAUGUCUCCCUUUUUGCACUUUGUGACAUCCUUUAAUAUAUUUUUAUGUAUCCAAAGAGGUAGUUGCUUCAACUUGCAGAAUUCUUGCUUGCUGUUGUGGCAUGAGUGGGAACUUCUGUAACCCCACCAGUAACUCAUUUGGGAUGUCCUUGAAAUAUUAAAGUUUGGUUCUUAAUAAAAA